rnacentral:lncRNA from 1 species
AUUGGAGAAUUUUGUUUCUUUGUUCAACCAUAGGGUCAAGCCUUUGGAGAAUAGAUGAUAGUUAUGACAGUCGUUAGAAACGGCCUGUCUUUAAUGCAGUAUCUCUUGAGGAAGAGUCUGUUUGUUUGAUUUUGUUUUGUUUCCUUUUUUUUAAAAAAAAAAUUCAUUCUGGCCAGCUGUCAGGGAGGAUUAAUUUGUCAUGAAUCCUGGAGAAUGGGGCUUGAUAUUUUUGCAUUGUUUGUCUCAUUUUGUUCAUAGAUGUCACAGCUCUGUACAAUUUAUUUGGAAUAAAUAUAUCCCAAGUGUAUGAGAGAAUGCAUCUUUUCCUUUUUAAAAGUUCCUUUGUCUUACAUUUUCCUCACAUUCCUGAGUUAGAGAUAUAGACUCUUACAAACAUAUCACUGUGGUCCAUGCUGAGGUUUUUUUUUUUUUUUUUUUUGUUUGUUUGUUUUGGUUUGUUUUGGUUUUUUUUUGCACUAAUUAAUUAAUUAGUUAAUUAAGCAUCUGAUUGUGCUAUGUAAUUCAAAAGUUCAUUUAAUCCAUAAAUGUUUGUACAUUUCCAAAGGGCUCUCAGAUUCAUGGAAAAUGGCUCAUUUUAAUAAGGCAUAUACCUUGUAUAUCUUGUAUGGCAAGCAUUGGACUAGCUUCAUAAUUUAAGUCAAUUGAAAAGGUGGUUAUGCAUCCUAGCAUGAUUAGCUACCAUCAGAGAUGCUGAUUCUGUGCUGAUGAAUAAGACUUUGUCUUCCUGCAUGGGGGUUGGAAGCAGGAAGCAGAUGCCCUCGCUUAUUGACAUUCUGUGCUUCAGAGCUGUCAUUUAAUUUCCCACUCAGAUACAGCUUUAUAAGGAAGAAUUGUAUCUCUGUCUUUAAUGCUAAUUUUAGGAGUAUUUGCAAGCAUCCUUUAUAUAUAUCAAGCUACCUUGAGCUGCUUUAAAGAUGUCAUAGUGCAUUCCUUAGUGUGGCUGGGGAGAAACCAUCUAUUUUCUAUGAUAAUUGUGGUGAGAGCAGGAGCAAAUGCAACUAGAUGAUGUCAAACAAUAAUUAAGCAUUUACUAUGUACCAGGUAUGCUUAUAAAUAUAUUUUAUGAUUUAUCUCUCCUGAUCUUUAUGUGUUUCCAGAAAUAGGUACGGAGGCAGGAUUGAAUAUGCAAGCAUUUUGGAUAAGGAAAAAUGUCUUCAGUGGGAAAAUGAGGGGAAACUGCAGGAGCCUGGAGGUCUCUUAGGUCAUUGGGAUGGCUAUUUUUGGUGGUCAGCUUGAUGACAGCUGGAAUUAAUGAAAAUACAAGUUGCUGGUAAACCUGUGAGAGAAAUUUUUUAAAUUAAAUAAUUGCAAGUGUGAGGGUCCACUUAAUGUUGUUUUUAAAUUCUUCUCAUACAUUACACCCUGAUCACAGCUUCUCUCCUUCCACUCCUAGUCCCUCCCAUACCUGCCCCACCAUUUCCUCUUUUCAAGAUCCACUCCUCCUCCAUUUCCCUUAAAAAAAAAAACAAAACAAACAAACAAAAAAAACCCACCACCACCACCAACAAAAAAACCCAAAAACAAAAAAGAAAAAAGAGCAGGUUGAAGACUGACUUUUACUCCAGUUCCUUUAAGAUAAGAAGAUACAGUCUAGAUCUUUUGAGGUGGGAAGAUCCAUCUUUAAUCUGGGCCACACUUUCUACUGGAAGUAUUUGUAAAGGUCAUGGAAGAAGGUAGAGUGAUUUCUUUGCCUGCUUGCUCUAGCUCUGUCUGACAAGUGCAUUCUUUCAUUGACAUUAGAUCCUACUCUUUUGGGAUUCUAGUAUGGAUUGGUGACAUGCUGAGAUACUCAGCCUCCUACACUGAACAACUACUAGAUUCUUGAACUUCCCAUUGGUUAGACAGCUAUUAUUGGACUUGGAUCAUGGCCUGUAAGCCAAUUUUAGUAAAUCCCC